GUGAUGGAGCGGGGCGGGAACGGGGCUGGAGCGGUGCGGGAACCGGGCUGGAGGGGUGCAGGAACGCUACAGGAGUGGUGCGGGAACGCUAUAGGAACGGUGCGUGAACGCUAUAGGAGCGGAGAUGGAGCGUUAUAGGAGCGGGGUGGGAACGGGGCUGGAGCGGGGCGGGAAUGGUGCUGGAGCGGUGCAGGAGUGCUGCAGGAGCGGGGCUAGAACACCAUAGGAGCGGUGCAGGAACACUAUAGCAGCGGUGCUGGAGCAGUGCAGGAACGCUGCAGGAACGCUGCAGGAGCGGUGCAGGAAUGCUAUAGGAGCAGUGCAGUAGUGCUGGAGUGGUGCUGGAGCGGAGCUGGAGAAAUGCAGGAGCGGUGCAGGAGCAGCGCAGGAGCAGUGCUGGAGCGCUGCAGGAGCGCUGCAGGAGCGGUGAAGGAGCAGUGCAGGAGCACAGGGGGGCAGUGGGAGUAGAGCAGGUCGCUGGUGCUGGAGGGGCUCUGGGCAGCUCUGUGAUGGGCCGCAGAGCAGGGCUGGAGCAGCAGGCUGAGAUGAUUCAGGACAGUGCUCACAGGCAUUCCCAGGGCCGGAGGAGAAGGAGGUGGUGUGUGCAGGGGAGCUGCAUUCCCUGCAGGCAGCAGCUUCCCUCUGCCCUGUGCACGAAGCCUCCAUGGGCCAAUGGACCAGACGCGCGCUCAGCAUCUUCCCUGGCGUUGCUAUGAGACGGGAUCCCACGGGAUGCUGCAGUGCCAGCGCGGACCCCGGCACAGCUCAUCGGCAGGAGAACCUCUGGAUGAGGGCAGGAUGAUGGGGGACACGGCACAAAAGGCUGAGGCAAAGCACCGUGAGAGAGAAAGCCCCACACCUCUCAGGGAAACCUCAAAAGGGUCAGGGCCAACAGGAGGGAGAGCUGAGCAUCAGCAGGACGGUGCAAUCUGGAGAGAGGUCUCCAGAGGGUUUCAGGUGACCACCCUUCCUAUCAUGCUGUUUAGGAUUUUAAAAACAUCACAUAUUGUGAUGCUGGCGGCACAAAGGAGGCCCCAGCAGAGAGCAGAAGGAAGCACAAACAAGACAGACUGACCGUGCUGCUCUGCAUCCUUUGGCAUUCCCUGCCUGAGCACCUUUGGUGCAGGUGCAAACAUCAAGUUUAAAGUCCUGGGCUGCACUGACAAAGCAAAUUAGGAGGUGGCUGCUCCAAGCAGGCAGCUCAGCAGGGUCUCCCAGGCCUUUAUAUCCCUGCUGGGUUCCCCAAGCAGUCCUUGGUGAUGUUACAGGUUGGGGGACAGUGGGUGCCACAGUCUGGGCUGGUUUCAGCCUGGAGCUGGGCAGGACUGUGGUGGUAGCUGGUGGAUGGAUGGACCCCUGUCUCACCAAAACACGGGAGUCCUUCCAUAGUUUGUUGACCCUUCACCCCAAAUUCUGGUAUUUUUGAUGUGAUAUUAUUGGUAAUUUAAAACUAUGGACUCCUUUAACAUCAA